CAGCCGCCACGGUAAUACGGAGGGUGCAAGCGUUAAUCGGAAUUACUGGGCGUAAAGCGUGCGUAGGCGGUUCGUUAAGUCUGUUGUGAAAGCCCCGGGCUCAACCUGGGAAUGGCAAUGGAUACUGGCGAGCUAGAGUGUGUCAGAGGAUGGUGGAAUUCCCGGUGUAGCGGUGAAAUGCGUAGAGAUCGGGAGGAACAUCAGUGGCGAAGGCGGCCAUCUGGGACAACACUGACGCUGAGGCACGAAAGCGUGGGGAGCAAACAGGAUUAGAUACCCCGGUAGUCCCUGUCUCUUAUAC
rnacentral:rRNA from 1 species